rnacentral:lncRNA from 1 species
CAUUUCUGCAAGCCGCCUACCCCAAGGCCCAAGACGAGGGCCCAUUUCCACCUGUCCGUCAUCGGGAUCUGGUUCUGAAUCGGGAUCGAGGCAAGAUCGCAUCGCUGCCGUGUCGAGAGCAGCGACCUCCGGCUCCGGGCCGGAGAUUCGAGAGAUUUUGAGUAGCAGUGCAUAAUCAGGAGCCUUUCUCUACAUUUUUCCCCUAAAAUUGAGCUGCAUACAAGGUGACCGGCUGAACUUACGACGGUGGACAGAGUCAUUGCUUAUUUCGUCUCUUCUUUCCUGGUGGAGCGAGCAUGUGUUGGUUAAGAUUAUCUCCUCACUUUCCUUGUUUUGUUUGUUUCUUGGCUUCUCUUUGUGUUAUUUCAGCUGUGAGGCCUGGAGUCAGAUAUGCCGGCUGUCCAGCAUGCUGAUAGACCUGGAGCCUGGAGGUGGAGGAUGACGCUUUCCUGGCAUUCAAGCCAACAGAAUACUAUACCGUACAGUUCAAGAAGGGAGCACCUCUGAAUUCUAACCCUAAAGUCUUUAGUUAUUUAGCUUCAACUUUUGACUUUUUUUUUACCGUGCCUUGUUAAAUCUGACAAUUAUAGUGUGUUGUUUUUACUGACCGACUGCCAAUUGCGGCUUGAGUUUUCCACUUUUCCUUGUGCAGUAAUGAAGUGAGAAAUUCAAUUGCGCUCUUCGCAAGUUUUA